AUAAUGGAGAGUUUGAUCCUGGCUCAGAACGAACGCUGGCGGCGCGUCUUAAACAUGCAAGUCGAACGGUAAACCAGCAAUGGUACGAGUGGCGAACGGGUGAGUAACACGUAG
rnacentral:rRNA from 1 species